GGACCCGCACAAGCGGUGGAGCAUGUGGUUUAAUUCGAUGCAACGCGAAGAACCUUACCUGGUCUUGACAUCCUGCGAACUUUCUAGAGAUAGAUUGGUGCCUUCGGGAACGCAGUGACAGGUGCUGCACGGCUGUCGUCAGCUCGUGUUGUGAAAUGUUGGGUUAAGUCCCGCAACGAGCGCAACCCCUAUUGAUAGUUACCAUCAUUAAGUUGGGUACUCUAUUGAGACUGCCGCUGACAAGGCGGAGGAAGGUGGGGACGACGUCAAGUCAUCAUGGCCCUUACGACCAGGGCUACACACGUGCUACAAUGGGUAUUACAGAGGGCUGCGAAGGUGCGAGCUGGAGCGAAACUCAGAAAGGUACUCUUAGUCCGGAUUGCAGUCUGCAACUCGACUGCAUGAAGUCGGAAUCGCUAGUAAUCG
rnacentral:rRNA from 1 species